UUUAUUAAUGCUUUUCAGGGUUAAAAGAAUUGGAUAUUUCACCAUGUGGAGUUUCUCUGCCUCACUGAUGAUCUAAGGUCAAACCUGCCAGUUUAUGGGGGAUAAUAGACCCUGUAACAUCUGACCCACCACCUGCAGUAAGCUCUGAGACAGACAUAGCUGGAGCCUGGAUGAAGGUCAGUGCUUUUCCUCCAGAAGAGUAGAUGUUAACUUCAAAUUUAAAUGAUGACUGUUUUUACCACAACAAAAGAAGAGAUGGUGAGACCAAGAUGAUGAUGACAAGAUGUUGGAGGAAUCAGCCAAGCUCAGAUAAGAGCUCAGAGAAAGGAGUCCAAGGCCCUUCUGAUGGGUGUACUCUGCCUCCAGCCCUGGGCCCCACUCCUGCACUCUGCUCCUGCCAUCUCCUGCUCCAGGCCUGCAUCAUCUCCAUCCUGAGAAGAAAAAUGGAGGAAACUGCGGUAUGUUCAAUGGAACAGAAUAAACCACUGAACAGUAGGAAAGGACAGACAGGUAAUGAGAGAAGGUCAUCCUGCAAGUCAGCAGAGGAGUUAAAAACAGACACAAGUUUUCUUGAACAAUGAGGCAUUAUGUCUUCUCACCAUGAACAUGUCCAUUUUAAAUUUCUGACUGUGCUGUAGAUAGGCAUUUAAGUACCAGAAAAGUACAUGGCGCAGAGUACUGCUGACUGCGGGUUCUCGUCUUAAUGCAUUUUCCAACCUUGAACCUGAGAAUGCGAGAGGCUCGAGACUCUGGACGCUCAUCCGAGUGGCAGGCAGUCUGCUGGUGGCCUGGCUCCUGAGGUAACGUGUGUGUCCUGAGCGUGCGUGUGUGCUAACAACAGCAGCAGUGCCACGUGGCACCCAGAGGUCACUGCAGUUCUGGCCUGGGGGUUCCUGAUCCUCGGCUUCUGAGGUGAACUGUGAACCUGGGGUGUCUUGAGAAGUGCAAGCACUUUGUGGAGUUCCACAGCAAACAUGGAUGCAAGCACAGACACAGCUUUUUCAAAGCGAAAGUAGGGGCCUCGAGGAAGGAAUUACCCUCAUCUCACCCCCAACCUGCUUACUGUGCUGGAAAACAAAUGUUUAUACAAGGACAACACAGACACAAAUCCUGCCCUCGUGGAACUUGGAGGCCAGUGGAAGGAGCAGGCCGCAUGAUUCUCCCACGAUGGCAGGUUACGUGCUGCGAGGGAAAAGCACACACAGGAGAGGAUCUCAGUAAGCCUGCUGUGGCAACUCUGUAUGUGCAGCCAGAAACUGAGGCCAAUGACAGAGCUCUUCUGCUGUUACCUCUUAGAGGAUAGAUUUCUAAGCAUUUGGUUUUUAAAGGCUAUCUGUAUAGAAGCACUCUUGGAGAUUAGUAUUUUAAGUUCUUUUUCAUGUAGGCAAAGAAUAGAUAGAAAGUUUUUCCUAACCAGUGCAAAUGACGGUCUGUGAAAACUAAUUUCCCACAUGUACCUUUUAGGAUUGGAUGAAAACUGUUGGUUGAAUUGUGAUAAACCGGAGAAGAAAACUUUAAUUUUUUUCAAAUACAGUUGGAUUAAGAUAUAUAUAUUGUCUACCAUUUUCAGAAGAGGAAUUGGCAAAGGGAGAGCUAAUUUCUGUGCGAUUAAGGAAAGCUCCUAAAGAAAACUCGUGGAAAAUCCCCAUCAGUGUUCUUAGACUGAAAAUGGGUCAGGUCUGCUGCUUAUACGAGACUCAGCGGGCAGAGCCUGUGGAGGCAAGGAGGGCCUCCAUCCCUGCUGAGGACGGCCACCUGGACAGCAAGUUGGCUAAACUUAACUUCUGAACAUGGGUACCUCUGCAUGUAUGCUGGGCCCUGCACGGCACCGCACACUUCCUGUUUCCUGUCACUUGCAUAGAAGGCUACGGAACACAGGCUUUUCCCAAUCCUCACCCCUAAAGCAAACAAAAACUAUGCCUCCAGUUCAGGUAAUCUAAAUCAGCAGAUCUGUCUUGAAGUUCCCUGGGCACAAACCUUGUCUCUUCUUUGGUCCUGAUGACUAAAAGCAGCUAGGAUUUUUUAAUUGACUAGUUUUUAAGUAUUUCCAAACAGAGGAGAAAAUUAGAUCAGAAAUCUAGUAAAGUUGAAAAUUAUCUUUAAAACUACCUUUUCUCACUAGAAGUAGAACACUAGGUUAUUGAAAGCUUGUUCACGUUUGUGAUUGAUCCUGUGUUUAAGUAGUUUUAAAGUAAGUAACUCAUUUUACUGCUAACAGCUCACUUCACUGUCUGUAUUAUUACCACCAUCAUUUCUGUGAGGUUCUAGGUCUUUUGUGAACAAAUUAAAUACAGUGCUUUCUUUAUGACAUGAAUUAAAUCUAGAUCCCAAUGAUAUUUGGCAUCUUCUAAAUACCCAGAUGGGCACAGCGUUUGCCUUGAAGCGAAGACGUGCACAGGGUUUUAAUCACAUCAUGUUUUAUUUUUUCUCUUUUAAAUAUCGCCUUUUCAGCAGUUGCUUCUUAAUGAAUGACUGAUUGUUUACUGAGGUUUAUAACCAAGUAUUUUAAAAAAUUCUAAUCAAGAUUCAGAUGGAAAAAAUUUUCCUCCUCAUUCCCUCAUCCCUUACAUUAGAAUAAAAGUAAAUUGUCUUUCUUUUGGAAACCUAAUAGUUUGAGAAGUCCCAUCAUUCUCUUCCUGAAAACUUAAUUUUAAUAAAUCAGUUCAGAGGAAAUUUAACUACAGUUGUUAAAACAAAAAUAUCUUAUAAAAUAAAAACAAGGUAGGGCUAAAGUAAGUUUCACCUCUUGAGUAUGACUGCCAUGUGAAAGAAAAUGUAGUUAAAAAAUAAAUUUUGCUGUGUCUUCCCCAUGACUUCAUCACUUGGACAUACUUGACUUUUUUUAAACAGCAGAGUUGGGUAAAAACAACUGGUGUCCAAAGACCAAAUUCCAAAACAGGCCUCAGAUACCUGGAGACACGAGGGGUGUAUUCUUUUGCAGGGGUCUUAAAUGACAGUUUUGUGUCCAAAUUUUACCCUGUUUUAUCUUUGAAAGUAAUAACAGUUUCUCAAUAGCAGGUUAGUCUCUUGAUACAAGAUUGACCCAGUGACCCCCAAGAAGUUAUGCUUUGGGAGUGCUCAUUUAAUUAAGAGAAACAGAGCUGAUAAAAGGGACCAGGUAACUCAGAAAUGUUCUUUCUGUUGAACUUUUCCAGAAGAAGCACGUUAAGUCAUGGAGCAGGUGUUGCCGUUACACACAGACACACACACACACACCCUCCUCAAAGGCAACCCUAGUUUCCCAGCUUUAGCUAUCCCAAAGGACCCUCAGCACUGUGGGUUCAGGGUAGGGUCUGGGUUUAGUGAAAAUUUUUAAUGCUCCCAGGGCAGAGAGCUGACCUUAGGGCCAACAUAUGGCCACAGAAAGCUGUUACCUGUUCCAUGAGAGCAGUGGGAUGAUGCUUCCAGGUCCUGCCUGCAGAUUGCCCAAUGAGUCUAUAGUCAGUGCUGCAUUCAUAAUAGAAAUAAAUGCUCUGAUACUCAACAUUGCUAAAUAUAAUUUAUAAUUUUGAUCUAACUUUGAAACAUGAACGAUCAUGCUUUUCACACUGCUUUAAUGACUUACACAGACAAUUUAUUCUAGAUAAUGGGGAGUUAAACCUGUCAGCAUCUGAAUAUUUUUCACCCAUUUGUUCAAAUACCUGCAUUUGGGUGCUAAUGUGCAUGUUUAAUUGCUUGAACCUAAAUUAUAAAACCCCUAAAAGGAUGCUUUUAUCCUAGAGACUCCUCUCAUAAGCUCCUUGCAUUUCCCAGGAUUUAUGUGCCAGCCCCUCUUAGAAGAGGUCUGCUUUAAAAUACAGGAAGUUGAGCUCUUCAGGGAAAGUGUAGAUAGCCGAAUCAUCAGCAGAAUCACUACAGGCAUUCCAUGAGAAGUCUGUUCUGUCAGAACCAAGUUUAAUCCAGGAGCUAUUGUUUACCCAGGUUUCUUGACGGUGAUGAUGAGCAUGGUCAGAAGGCUGUUAGUAGCUGCCCAGAGAGACUGCCUCUUUUUAAAGCUCCAAUCAUUCAAAUCUGGUCAUGCCUUACUUUCUGCAGCCACAGAAGAGAGCAGAAUGAGAUUAAAAUGGCCCUGCAACAGAGCAGGGUGCUCUUGGCUUGCACUUUGUUGUUUGUUCCUCCAGUGGUUCCUAGCUGUUGUGACGUCAAGGCUGCCAUACAGGGCAGAAAAAAAGGAAACCUUGCCUUCUCUUUGCAUCAGUAGCCUGGACAAGCUCUUGUUUCCCAGGCAUCCAAAAUGCUCUCUGUCUGGCAGAGCUGUGCAUUCCAUGCCUGGGUGACCUGGUUAAAUGGAGGAAACCAAAUAUUCUCCGCUGAAUGCUCUCCAAAACAAGCAUUCCACCCUGAGCUUCUGAAGUAUAGGCUUCACUGCUCCUGAGGGCUGUAAAUGGAGCUGUUGCAUUGCUCUACAUUAUCUGCUGGCGUAUUCAGCCUCUGUUUAGAGGCUUAAAAGAGAGAGAAUCAUUAUCAACAGUCUUCAUUAAUAUACACUGCAACAACAUCAUUAUGCUGCCUUUUGGGGUCAGUGCUAUAGAAUUCUUUUUGGAAAACAAGUCCUGUGUUAAAAAUCGUUUGAGUCAUGGAAGUUCACAACUGCCACCUCUUCCUUCCCAUUCCAUUUCUGCCCACCUCAUUCCCCAAUUUCAGAUUUCUGAAUUUUAGAAAGGUUCUAGGAAGUAAUAUAUACUUACCUAUUAAUUUUGCACUCUGCAUUAUUAAGCUUGCAUAUCUUUUGCAUAUAUAUGAAAAAGAAUCUCACUGUAAUAUGUAGGUCACAGACUCUGGAUUUUUCUUACCAAAGAGUAACACCUUUUGUUUAUCAGAGGGAAGGAACUAUUUCAAAGUAUCACAGAACUGCUGUCUCUUCAGGAACAAGCCAAGAUCCCUACGGCAAACAGCAGUCUUGCAAGGCCAGAAACUCACUGAUAAUGUUCUGGUUGCUUACAGUGAAUGCCUCAGAAUUUACCAAUUAAGACUCAGUCUUCUGAGGGUGUGCCUUCUUGGGUUUCUUCCUGGCAUGAGAGAGAGCAUUAUUUUAUUAGAUUCUUGGAGGUGGACGAUAUAGUCAUUAGAAAAAGCACAACCGCCACAUGUUGUAUUCUAAAGUUGUCUUGGUUAAAUCAAUAUGCAUUAGAGGUUUUAUGUUACAAAUCCAUUAAAUCUUUCUCAAAAUAGCCCUCCUCUGAACCUUUGAUUGAAGGAUAUUUGUAGAAACCAAAACCAUUUAAUUUUAUACACAGAUGUAUAUACAUGCAGGAAGGAUCUUAACACAGCAGGCCCUUUUUGAAGUGAAUUAUUACAGGACAAAAUUCUUCCAUAUUACUAACUCUUGUCUUCCAAAAAAAAAAAAGAUCCUCAGGUAACUGGAUAGAGAUGGAAUAGAUGGAGUGAAUCUUGAAAGGAGAUUUUACAACAAGGAUUUACUGGACUGCAGUCUAGUUUUGCCUGGACAGACUUGCCCAAGGACUAGCCUACUGCCAUAUGAAUGCCAUAUCUAUGCCAUUGUAGUUGCCAGAAUGGGAAUAGGGCACAUGGAGCUCUUUAGCAUGGCUUCUUCGUGGGUGCUUUGGACCAUGUGAUGCUGAGAAUCUUGAAAUGAGAGGAAGAACUGGGACAUUACUUUCCAUUUGUAAACUGGAGAAUUAGUCAUUUUUGUUGUUGGCUACUAUUUACAUAACAGCCAUCCUUUUAUUUAUUUUUCCUAUUAAUACCAUUUCAGUAGGUCCUUAUUAUCUGUAGAUAACUGGUACCAGAAAACUGCUACUUUAAGAGAAUCAAAUUAAAACUGAAUCAAACAUUUAAAACAAACAUUAUGAGGAUUAAUUCUUGAAAAGUUAAAAAAAAAGUUAAAUCUAAGCUUGUUUUACAUUACAUAACAGAAAUUUGGGACAUGAUACAACAAUAUAUUAUUUCUUAAAACAAAGAUGGAAUGUCAGCCUUUGUGGCAGAAUCAUGAAGAGGGUGAUUUUGGUUGAUAUAGGCAUUCAAAUUUUCCCAAGAGCUACUCUUAAUCUUUGUAUGUAGACUCUCAUGAAGUCAUCUGCUGGCUGCUGCUUCCUCAAUCAUUUAAUAUUCAAAUUCUCUUUGAUCCUUAUUUGUCAAUGACGGUGGGUAACUUAAGCAAUUCUCUAGUGUCACUUUCAUCAACUUUAUGUAAAACCGGCAAGUUCAUGUUACAAGUGGACUAUAUUGUAUGUGCAUUUUUAUUCCAUGAUACUGACCAAGAAAGUGAGCAGGAAUAGAUGCUUAUGUUAACGAGGAUGAAACAAACGUUAAGUGAUCACUUUAUCUGCCAGUAUUUUUAUAUUAUGAUGACCUGUGUGUCCUUACCUGUGUAACCUGGUAACUGAAGGACUCAGAGAAUGAUUAUGCAAGUAAUUAGAACUCCCCCCACCCCAUAUUGUGUUACAUUUAAGGCAAUCAAUAUGGUUUAGUGGGCUUUAUCAUAAACCACAUAUAGAUUUGUAUGUCAUUCCUUGGCACUUAACUAAGUUAUAUAACCUUGAGUAAGUUACUCAAAGAACUUCAGACUUCAUUACUCUGCAGAGGAAUAAAACCAGCCUUGCCAAGUGGUCAUGGGAAUUAGAGCCCAUGUGUAUAAAACUCCUGGAUAAUACGUAGUGCAGCUCAGGAAAUGAUGCCUGUUUGGUUGCUAUUGCAUUUCUGUGGUACCUUAGACUUUUUUUAUUAUUAUUAAGAUAUCAUUGAUAUACAAUCCUGUGAGGGUUUCACAUGAGCAACAUUGUGGUCACUACAUUCACCCAUAUUAUCGAGUCCCCGCCACCUCCCCAACCACAGUCGCAUUGUCCAUCAGCACAGUAAGAUUGUGGUACUUUAGACUUUAUAUGAGACUUUCAUGUUUAAUUCAGGCUGAAGAACUUAAAUUUUAGCAGUCACUAAAUAUUUUUAAGGUAUGCAGUGACCUGAGGAAACUAAAUUUCAGAUUGUAUUUGAUUGACUGUGUACAUCACGGAUCACAUCGCAUAGUUUGAUGGCCACUUUAUGGUACAGAUGAAAACACUGAGCAAGGAAAUUACCUAACAUUCCCAGGGUCACAUGGUUUGUAUCUGGCAGAGGUGAACCCAGAACCCAGUCUUCACUGUGUUUUCCACAGCAUAGUUGUGAAGUGAGCCAAUUAAAAAGGCCAUCAUACUUGUCCGGUGUGUUUCCCAGGAGUGGGAAUGGGAGGAAAAGGACAGAGGCAGGGCUGCCGAGAGCAGGUGCUGGUUCCACUCGGCUCCAUGAAAAACCGGGUCAAGGAUCCAAACAUGUAAGCCUGGUCAGAUGGCCAUACAGUUAAACUAAAAUAGGUAGAAUUGGUUGAUUUUGUUGUUCUCUGAAGAGUUUAAAGGGGAUGUCCAGGUGGAAAUAUAUAAGAUUAAAGGGAGGGGAAGAUAUUAGUGCUCAAGAAAUAAAUAUAAGACUCCUGCUGAAAAAGGAACCUUGAAAGCACUGUAGGGUAUGUAAGUACAUGCCACCUUAUAUACUUAUAUAAUAAGUGUAUGCGUGUUUGUGUGUUUUAAACUGGACUUUGCGGCAUAUUCCCCAUUCAGGAUGAGCGGUGUUACAGCUUACUACCCAGUUAUUAUCACAAACUGUUACACCUUCAUCAGAGAGAAGAGCUGUUCCCAUAGAUUCUUCGUGUCUGUGUGUGUUUUGUUGGAUGGAUCCUGCUGUGGCACUGAGAGACAGACUCUGCUGGGCCCUGUUUUGUAAACAAAUCUGUUCACACACACUUUCUUCCAUCGUUGUAUGUGUACACUGGCUCUGCUUUUCCCGCCAGACACAAGGAAGCCCUAGAGGUGGAGAAGCCUGUUUUCCUUUAGAAGUAUGCAGGUAUCAAAGAAAAAUGCACAUCUACCUUGUAUAAGUGUUUGAAUCCUCACAGUUUUAACUCUGGGCCAUGAAUUCUGCAAGUACAUGGUAGCCCAGUACACACACAGUGCCCCUGGGAGGCAUCCUGAAAGAUGCCACACAAUUCUGUGUUGAGCUCAGUAAAUAAAGCAAGCUCUUUUUACCCCUGAAGUGCAUUCUGUGGGCCAUAAGCGGGUCUUGUCACCCAAGGUGAUAAAGCAGAACUCUGCUUUUUCCAAUAAGGGGUGAUUCAUCCCUUUCUUAGAUUGGAAUAUGAACCUAUAACAAUAUAUAUCCAUAUAGUCACUUCCUACCUAUGGUUUUUUGAGUGUUUUAUUUAAUAUUCUAGCCAAGUUCAAGUUUUUAUGACAGGAAGCAUGUGAAUGGUUAUGACAGGAGUAAAUAACAUUUGAUUUUAUGAUUACAGUACAGGAAGUAACUUUUCAUGCCAAAUAAAUCUUUGGGGGGAAAAAAAGUGCCGGCUUAUAAAUUUAACGUACAUAAAUUUCCGAGAAUCUUUGUUCUCUUAAGAAGAAAUAAAAUCAGAAUAUGGUCUUAACUUCUUCCUCUUCUUAACUUUUUUUGUCAACAAAUGUCUGUUUUAAGAAGAGGCACUUUCAAGGUAUUUUGGUGUGACCCAACAUGAUACGGAACCAUUAAAAAAAAUUCUAAGUGAAAAUAGUAAGGCCAAACUUUAUGGAAUAAAUAGCAUGAAAGGCUUGAACACUUUAAAUAGGAAAUUACUUUUUCUUUAAGAGUAAAUAGCCAAAUCAUUAUUCACCACUGAAGCUGAGGUGCCCUCCCCCGCAACCUGCAACUCCCAGUUGCUCUUGUGGCUCUGUACAGUUAAGUACGUGGGAAAGACAAUUUGUUUAACAUCAGAGCAUCUGCAUA